GAUGAACGCUGGCGGCGUGCCUAAUACAUGCAAGUCGAGCGAACAGACGAGGAGCUUGCUCCUCUGACGUUAGCGGCGGACGGGUGAGUAACACGUGGAUAACCUACCUAUAAGACUGGGAUAACUUCGGGAAACCGGAGCUAAUAUCGGAUAACAUGUUGAACCGCAUGGUUCAACAGUGAAAGACGGUCUUGCUGUCACUUAUAGAUGGAUCCGCGCCGCAUUAGCUAGUUGGUAAGGUAACGGCUUACCAAGGCAACGAUGCGUAGCCGACCUGAGAGGGUGAUCGGCCACACUGGAACUGAGACACGGUCCAGACUCCUACGGGAGGCAGCAGUAGGGAAUCUUCCGCAAUGGGCGAAAGCCUGACGGAGCAACGCCGCGUGAGUGAUGAAGGUCUUCGGAUCGUAAAACUCUGUUAUUAGGGAAGAACAAAUGUGUAAGUAACUAUGCACGUCUUGACGGUACCUAAUCAGAAAGCCACGGCUAACUACGUG
rnacentral:rRNA from 1 species